UACGGGGGGGGCAAGCGUUGUUCGGAAUUACUGGGCGUAAAGGGCGCGUAGGCGGCUUUGCAAGUCGGGUGUGAAAUCCCCAGGCUUAACCUGGGAACUGCAUUCGAGACUGCAUUGCUAGAGUAUGGGAGAGGGAAGUGGAAUUUCCGGUGUAGCGGUGAAAUGCGUAGAUAUCGGAAGGAACAUCAGUGGCGAAAGCGACUUCCUGGACCAAUACUGACGCUCAUGUGCGAAAGCGUGGGGAGCAAACAGG
rnacentral:rRNA from 1 species